rnacentral:rRNA from 1 species
AGAGUUUGAUCAUGGCUCAGAGCGAACGCUGGCGGCAGGCCUAAUACAUGCAAGUCGAACGGCUCUUCGGAGCAGUGGCGGACGGGUGAGUAACGCGUGGGAACGUGCCCAAAGGUACGGAACAACUGAGGGAAACUUCAGCUAAUACCGUAUGUGCCCCUAGGGGGAAAGAUUUAUCGCCUUUGGAGCGGCCCGCGUUGGAUUAGCUAGUUGGUGGGGUAAAGGCCCACCAAGGCUACGAUCCAUAGCUGGUCUGAGAGGAUGAUCAGCCACACUGGGACUGAGACACGGCCCAGACUCCUACGGGAGGCAGCAGUAGGGAAUCUUGCGCAAUGGGCGAAAGCCUGACGCAGCCAUGCCGCGUGAAUGAUGAAGGUCUUAGGAUUGUAAAAUUCUUUCACCGGGGAAGAUAAUGACGGUACCCGGAGAAGAAGCCCCGGCUAACUUCGUGCCAGCAGCCGCGGUAAUAA